AGAUUUUAAGUUAAAAAAACUAUAUGCCUUCAAAGCAUAAAUUAAACUUUGAAAUUUAAAUCUU
rnacentral:tRNA from 1 species